UUGCACUCUUAAAAUACACCCGAUACAAUGCACCAGCCUGACUCAGCCGCAGACAUUAGUGCUAGGAAGAUGGCGCACCCGGCGAUGUUUCCUAGAAGGGGCAGCAGCAGUAGCAGCGGCAGCAGCUGCGUUACUGCUCCCACUGCACCAGGUACCGGCGUUGGGAGCGCUGCCCUCUCUGCCGAGGAUUAUCAGCCGCCUUUGCUGGUCCAGCCACCGCCUCCAUCUCCUGCAGCAGCUUCAUCAUCGGGUCCACAGCCGAUACCCCCUCCUCCACAAAGCCUGAACCUCCUCUCGCAGUCUCAGCUCCAACCACAGCCUCUUGCACAGACUGGAGCUCAGAUGAAAAAGAAAAGUGGCUUCCAAAUUACCAGUGUGACCCCUGCUCAAAUAUCAGCUAGUAUGAGCUCUAACAACAGUAUAGCUGAGGAUACAGAAAGCUAUGAUGAUCUGGAUGAGUCUCACACUGAAGACCUUUCGUCUUCAGAGAUCUUGGAUGUGUCUUUAUCCAGGGCCACUGACUUGGGAGAACCUGAAAGGAGCUCCUCUGAAGAGACUCUAAAUAACUUCCAAGAGGCAGAGACUCCUGGGGCUGUUUCUCCAAAUCAGCCUCAUCUUCCUCAGCAGCAUGCUCCUCUUCCUCAUCACCCACAGCAGAGUGUUGUGAUCAAUGGAAGUGUUCACCCCCACCACGUUCAUCAUCACCACCAUCUUCACCACCACCAUCAUGGACACCAUCAUCCGUCGCAUCCUGGCGUAGGUAGUGCCCCUAUUUCUGGAGGACCACCGCCCAGUCCAUCAUUUAGAAAACUAUCAACAACUGGAAGCUCUGACAAUGUUAUAUCAACUGCACCAGUUUCUGCUGCAUCAUCCACUGGUUCCCCGGCAUCUGCUGUGUCUAAUAUACGCACUACAAGUACUCCUGGCAAUUUAGGUGUAAGUCCUGCUACUGGAACUAGUACCUUAAAUAAUAUGGGUGGUGGUAGUUCUAGUGUGGCAAGCAGUGUGCUUGGUACUAUAAAUUUAAGCAACAUCACGAGUACUGGUAAUGUAAAUGCUUUGUCUGGAACAAGCAGCAAUGCUAAUGUGAAUAUCUUGAGUGGUGUUGGCAAUGGUACGAGUGCUUCCUCUAGUGUCAUUAACAAUGUUACUAAUCCAACGGCAGGAAUGGCAGUGGGAUCAAGCCCACAGCCGGCUGCAUCUGGCACCUCAAGGUUUAGGGUUGUAAAAUUAGAUUCUAGUUCUGAACCUUUCAAAAAAGGUAGAUGGACAUGCACUGAAUUCUAUGAUAAAGAAAAUACUGUUGCAGUUUCAGAAGGAGUAGCAGUAAACAAAGCAGUAGAGACGAUAAAACAAAACCCGCUUGAAGUGACUUCUGAAAGGGAGAGCACCAGUGGGAGUUCUGUUAGCAGCAAUGUAAGCACACUGAGUCACUAUACAGAAAGUGUGGGAAGUGGAGAAAUGGGAGCACCUACUGUGGUACAGCAGCAAGCGUUUCAAGGUGUGGGUCCUCAGCAGAUGGAUUUUAGCAGUGCUGCUCCUCCAGCAAUUCCAGCAUCUAGUAUACCACAGAGUGUUUCUCAAUCACAGCUUGCACAAGUCCAGCUGCAUUCUCAAGAAGUAAACUAUCCACAGCAGAAGCCAGGGGUCCAACCCCCUGCACAGGCCAGUCUAACCACUGUUACUGGGGUUCAGCCAGCCCCGGUUAAUAUACUAGGUGUAUCCCCAUCCCUGGGCCACCAGCAACCUGCCAUUCAGAGUAUGGCUCAACAGCAGCUGCCAUACUCACAGCCAGCGCAGCCUGUGCAGACUUUGCCAGUGGUGCAGCAGCAGCAGUUGCAGUACGGACAACAGCAGCAGCAGCAGCAGCAACAGCCGGUUCCUACGCAGAUGGCCGCAGGUCACGUUAAGCCGGUGAACCAAAACUCUGUCACGGGGGCUAUGCCGGACUACAUUCAACAUCAACAGAUCCUUCAGACUCCAGCUCCUGCCAUGCAGCCAAGUUCUACAGGAGUAGGAGCUGGGCAGCCAGUUCCUGUUGCCCAGGCACAGGGCAUGCAGCCUUCAGUGCAAGCACAUCCAGCCGCUGCCCCAGCUCAGCCUGUUGCUCAUGCUCCAGCAGCAAUACCAGGUGUAGCUGCCAGUGGUCAAAUGCUGAAUGUUGGGCAGCAGGGAAGCGUAGCUGCUGUGGUGCAACCACCCUCUGCUGCAAACCAAAUUCCACCUCCAGUUAUGCCGUCAACUGCUGCUCCUCCAUCUUCCCAAGUAGUGCAGCCUGUGCAGACAGGAAUAAUGCAGCAGGGAUUACAGGCUAGUGCUUCAAGCCUUCCUCAGCAAAUGGUCAUUGCUCAACAAAAUACCUUGUUACCUGUACAGCCGCAGGCACAAGGAGUGGAAUCUGUAGUCCAAGGGAUGGCUGGCCAGCAGCUGUCUGCGGUUAGCCCUAUACCCUCAGCUAGUACUGUUCCUGCAGCAAGUCAAGCUGGUUCAGCUGUGCCUCCUGGCAUACCUUCUGCUUCUGUAGGUUUGGGACAGCCACAGAAUAUAGCGCAGGCUUCGGCUGUGCAGAAUGGCAGUUUGGCUCAAAGUGUUAGUCAGCCUCCCUUGAUAUCAACAAGUAUAGGUAUGCCAGUGGCACAGAGUAUGCCACAGCAGAUGCCACUAAGCUCUACCCAGUUCCCUGCACAAUCACUAGCUCAGUCCAUUGUAAGCCAAAUUGAAGAUGGCAGACGCCCUACAGAACCUUCAUUGGUGGGUUUACCUCAAGCUGCCAAUGUCGAGAGUGGUGUUGGAGCAUCAGCUGUUUCGGAUGGGGGUAGCAGCAACAUGCCAUCUUCUGCAUCCCUCUUUCCACUGAAGGUGCUGCCAUUGACAACGCCUCUCGUAGAUGGUGAGGAUGAGAGCUGCCCACAAAAGUAAAGAACCAGUGUGAGAGUUUGAAGAAAGAAUCCGCUCAGAGGACUGAGUCUCAAGCAAAAUCUCCAGGUUGCAGACUCAGAAAGAAACUUCCUUUGGGGAAGGAUCUGCUUCCAGGAUUUGCUCGUCUCUUUUUCCUUGGGCAAACAGAGUUCUUGAAGCAAACAACAGGGUUGCAGGACACCUUCUAACCUUUAUACUGCAUCACAAGCCUUCAGCAGAAGAUCUUGACAGCCAUUUAUGUUGCUGGAAGAUGACUGGGUUUGGAUCUUGGCCUUCCUUAAGCAGGAUCUCCUGACAAAAAUGGGAAAUGACUCCUUUUUCCAUCACACAGAGCCACCCCAGAAAUGGAGGCCUAGGCAGAAAGUUACUUCUAAUGCAUUGUUCUUUAGGAAACGUUUUGCCUCCCACGUUCCUUUUGUUACAGUGUCAUAUAGAUGACUUUUAUAAAACCUAAACAUGGCAUCUUCCUAUCUGAAGAUAAGUCAGUAAAUCCAAGAUUAAGAGUUUACAGGUCUAAUAAUGUGAUCGGAUCUUGCUGUCCCUUCCAUAGGAGAUGCCACGUGAAUCUGUGAAACAGGGUUCUGCUGUGGUUAAGACUGUUAUAUUUGUAAAGCUUUUUCUACUUACAUUAAAAUGAUUAGAAAUAAUAUUAAUAAAGCUUCUUUUGAAAAUGCUGUUUAAUUAGGCUUCUACCUCUCCAGGUCUACUUAAAAAUAAAUUUAAGCCAAAGUGUCACAAUGGGCAAAAUGGGAAGUAGUGCAUCUUUUGAGGUUUCCUGUGGUUUUAUGUUGCAAAAAGGUAUGUUGGAAGUGUUGAGAGCUAUGAAAGUGGAAAAAACUUAACUUUUGCUUUAAGAGUGAGAAGUUAUUUGUUAGAAAGCAGAAAGCUUUCAGUUGUUUUCUCCCUAAGGUAUUCUGUAGCUGAACUUAAUUAAAUAUCUUGGGAGAUCUCAAAUAAAAACCUUAUGUUUGGCAGUAGUGAACAACACAUGCACAUGCCCAUGUACUUUUGUUGUUCUCACUAUAGGAAAUUAGUUUUGAAGACUAGGACUGACUUUUAAUGUUUAGAUUAGGAAAGGGGAAAGUUUUAUUCUUGAGCUGAGUGUGAGAAUGGGUGGCAGGAGUGUGAACUAGACCCUCUGGCAGUAGGUAAAGAGCACUUUUAUUUUUCUGUUUUCUGCUUCUGGCAAUUGGAGUAAACUAGUCAGAUGCUUGUGCUUGAAUCCAAUUAAUUUCUUAAAUCAGUUACCACAAAACAUUACUUUCUAACUAAUGCCUAGAUCUUUUGUUUUAUUCACUAGCUUAUUUAAAUUGUUGAAUAGUCUUAAUAUAGCCUUGAGGCUACUGCUUCAUGGCAGUUGUGACUUCUUACUAUGCUGGAAUGCAUUGCAGUCCUAGUACAUUCUAAAAAUAAUUGUUCAGAUGGUGCUGUUUAAGUACAUACUUAUGUAGUGAGCCAUUUUCACUGAACUUUCUGAAAUUUAGCUUUCUGUUGGAUGGCUUUUUAAUAUUUUUUUUUAUUGUGAAUAUCAAACUUCUUUGUCUUGCUUCUUCUGUGGUUAUCAAGUAAAGUGCUGAAUUUAUAACAUGGUAUUUUUAGAAACUGAUAGUCUGAUGCAUGUGUUUAACUAUGCAACCACAGUAACACUUGUGAACUUAGAAGUUUAAAAAGAAAUCAGUUUAAUGUAUCGAAUUCAAUUCUAUUUUCUUAUAAUAUGUGGAAAUGUGUAUGUGAUGAAAUUAAAAUUGAGUAGUUGUUAUAGGUACAGACAUGAAUUGUGUGCUGAACAGGAGUAAUCUAGAAGUCAAAAGCUGAACAUCUGUGAGUCUCAGAAAUGAAUACUAACAUCUGUGGCUAGAGAUCUGUGCCAGCAGUGCUUUUAGUUGAAAAUACCUGUUUUUCUAACUUCUAGUCCAAUUAAGGUCUGAUAUCUUUUAUGCUUAAUAGGUGUACUUGCCUCAGCCACAGUUUUUGGUCAUUUUGUUCUGUAGCAGAAGGUAAAUUGAGGACCAUCAAAUACUUACGAAUGCUGAAUACCUACAGUAAAGUAAAACAGGGGCACUGAGAACUGUUUCUCAUGUUACUGUCUCAGUUGCUAAAAUGACUUUACUCUUUCCCAUCACAAUUAGGGGGAAAAAACCCAACAAACACGCCAAAACAAAAGCAAAAACCAAACAAAAAAGCCUCUUGCUAUUCUACAGUUAGUAUUUUGAUAUUUCCUGUCUAUCACCUUGUGUUAAUGUGUUACUGUCAUGCUCUGAGUUUUACAGCUGGAAUCCUGGGUUCUUGAUACAUCUUUAGAG